rnacentral:rRNA from 1 species
GUGUCAGCAGCCGCGGUAAGACGAACCGUCCGAACGUUAUUCGGAAUUACUGGGCUUAAAGGGUGCGUAGGCGGCGCGGAAAGUCGGGUGUGAAAUCCCUCGGCUCAACCGAGGAAUGGCGCUCGAAACUACCGUGCUCGAGGAAGGCAGAGGUGAGCGGAACUCAGGGUGGAGCGGUGAAAUGCGUUGAUAUCCUGAGGAACACCGGUGGCGAAAGCGGCUCACUGGGCCUUUUCUGACGCUGAUGCACGAAAGCUAGGGGAGCAAACGGGAUUAGAUACCCGCGUAGUCC